UGGUGGCCAUUUUCAUUGAUGAGAAUGCCUUAAAAGGGAAUCAGGUACACUAAUUUUGAAUUGAGAAUUCUGAAUUCAGAAUUAAUGGAAGCCUGAGCUGUUCCCGCAACUGUAAGCUUAGUUCUUUUUAGAACGGUAAAGAUUGCACUUACACCACUGUCCUUUUUUGUGACGGGAAGGUUUAAUCUUUAUACGCAAGCCAGGAGACCUGCCAGAACGCGU
rnacentral:ncRNA from 1 species